UGGGGAAUUUUGGACAAUGGGCGAAGCCUGAUCCAGCAAUGCCGCGUGUGUGAAGAAGGCCUUCGGGUUGUAAAGCACUUUUGUCCGGAAAGAAAUCCUUGGCUCUAAUACAGUCGGGGGAUGACGGUACCGGAAGAAUAAGCACCGGCUAACUACGUGCCAGCAGCCGCGGUAAUACGUAGGGUGCAAGCGUUAAUCGGAAUUACUGGGCGUAAAGCGUGCGCAGGCGGUUUGCUAAGACCGAUGUGAAAUCCCCGGGCUCAACCUGGGAACUGCAUUGGUGACUGGCAGGCUAGAGUAUGGCAGAGGGGGGUAGAAUUCCACGUGUAGCAGUGAAAUGCGUAGAGAUGUGGAGGAAUACCGAUGGCGAAGGCAGCUCCCUGGGCCAAUACUGACGCUCAUGCACGAAAGCGUGGGGAGCAAAACAGGAUUAGAUACCCUGGUAGUCACGCCCUAAACGAUGUCAACUAGUUGUUGGGGAUUCAUUUCCUUAGUAACGUAGCUAACGCGUGAAGUUGACCGCCNGGGGAGUACGUCGCAAGAUUAAAACUCAAAUGAAUUGACGGGG
rnacentral:rRNA from 1 species